GGUCACGUGAUGGAGUUGGUCACCAUACCUGUCUAACACUUCUGCUCGCAGAUUUGGUUCACAGGAGGUCGGCAGUUCGAUCCUGCCCGGGAUCA